AGAGUCACCUGGCAGGGGAGGUACCAUGACCACGAAGGUGGUUUUCCCAGGGUGAGGCUUAUCCAUUGCACAAAGAUGCAGAGUCCUGGCAAAAUUUCAUCUGAUUCAGAAGAGGCUUUGAAUUUUACGGCCUCCC
rnacentral:snRNA from 1 species